UACAGAGGCCACGAGCGUUAGGCGGAAUCACUGGGCUUAAAGCGUGUGUAGGUGGAUGGCUAAGUACCUUGUGAAAUCCCACGGCUCAACCGUGGAACUGCUUGGUAUACUGGUCGUCUUGAGGCACUCAGGGGCGAGCGGAACAGAUGGUGGAGCGGUGAAAUGCGUAGAUAUCAUCUGGAACGCCAAUGGUGAAGACAGCUCGCUGGGGUGUACUGACACUGAGACACGAAAGCCAGGGAGCAAACGGG
rnacentral:rRNA from 1 species